UUUGGGCGCUUGAGAGAACUCUGGAGAAGGAACUCGGCAAAUUGACACCGUAACUUCGGAAGAAGGUGUGCCUCUAGUAGGUGAAGGCGUACAGCUGGAGCCCAAUGAGGUCUCAGAAAAUCGGUGGCUGCGACUGUUUAUUAAAAACACAGCACUCUGCAAACACGAAAGUGGACGUAUAGGGUGUGACGCCUGCCCGGUGCCGGAAGGUUAAACGAUGGGGUGCAAGCUCCUGAUUGAAGCCCCGGUAAACGGCGGCCGUAACAAUAACGGUCCUAAGGUAGCGAAAUUCCUUGUCGGGUAAGUUCCGACCUGCACGAAUGGCGUAACGCUGGCCACACUGUCUCCUCCAGAGACUCAGCGAAGUUGAAAUGGUUGUGAUGAUGCAAUCUACCCGCGGCUAGACGGAAAGACCCCGUGCACCUUUACUGUAACUUUGCAUUGGACUGUGAACCGAUCUGUGUAGGAUAGCUGGGAGGCUUUGAAGUGGGGGCGCUAGCUCUCAUGGAGCCAACGUUGAAAUACCAGCCUGAUUGUUUUGCGGUUCUAACCUAGGCUCGUCAUCCGGGCCGGGGAUCGUGCAUGGUAGGCAGUUUGACUGGGGCGGUCUCCUCCCAAAGAGUAACGGAGGAGUACGAAGGUGCGCUUACCACGGUCGGAAAUCGUGGCUUAAUGUGCAUAGGCAAAAGCGCGCUUGACUGCGAGACGUACAUGUCGAGCAGGUGCGAAAGCAGGUCUAAGUGAUCCGGUGGUUCUGUAUGGAAGGGCCAUCGCUCAACGGAUAAAAGGUACGCCGGGGAUAACAGGCUGAUUCCUCCCAAGAGUUCAUAUCGACGGGGGAGUUUGGCACCUCGAUGUCGGCUCAUCACAUCCUGGGGCUGUAGCCGGUCCCAAGGGUAUGGCUGUUCGCCAUUUAAAGUGGUACGUGAGCUGGGUUUAAAACGUCGUGAGACAGUUUGGUCCCUAUCUACCGCGGGCGUUGGAAGUUUGAGGGGGGCUGCUCCUAGUACGAGAGGACCGGAGUGGACGCAUCCCUGGUGUACCGAUUGUCACGCCAGUGGCAUUGUCGGGUAGCUAUAUGCGGAAGGGAUAACCGCUGAAAGCAUCUAAGCGGGAAACCUGCCCAAGAUGAGACUUCCCGGAGGCUUGACCUCCCUAAAGGGUCGUCCGAGACCAGGACGUUGAUAGGCUGGGUGUGCAAGGGCCGUGAGGCCUUCAGCUAACCAGUACUAAUUGCCCGUGUGGCUUGACCCG
rnacentral:rRNA from 1 species